GUAUGGCCCUCACAGUUAUCUUUAGAGAGGAUGGAGUCAGUUUUGAUGGAGAGACUGUUUGUAGGCUGUCAUACACUGACACCUACAAUAACUACUCUCUUAGGAGGAUGGGAUUUGUGAGAGUGGAUGGCCAGUGGGCCAAGAGUCGUGCUGUAGAGGAGGAUAGUGAUGAGGAUGAGGAGCAUGCUGAGGGGGAGGGUCCUUCUUCUCCUGUGCCUAGGUCAAGCCCAGC
rnacentral:lncRNA from 1 species